GGCGAAGCUUGACAGGGUUACUCUGAGUGAUUUCCGUUAAGGAGAUCUUUUGGCACCUCUAAAAAUGGUGCAGAAUAAGGGGUGGGCAAGUCUGGUGUCAGCCGCCGCGGUAAUACCAGCACCCCGAGUGGUCGGGACGUUUAUUGGGCCUAAAGCAUCCGUAGCCGGUUCUACAAGUCUUCCGUUAAAUCCACCUGCUUAACAGAUGGGCUGCGGAAGAUACUAUAGAGCUAGGAGGCGGGAGAGGCAAGCGGUACUCGAUGGGUAGGGGUAAAAUCCGUUGAUCCAUUGAAGACCACCAGUGGCGAAGGCGGCUUGCCAGAACGCGCUCGACGGUGAGGGAUGAAAGCUGGGGGAGCAAACCGGAUUAGAUACCCGGGUAGUCCCAGCUGUAAACGAUGCAGACUCGGUGAUGAGUUGGCUUAUUGCUAACUCAGUGCCGCAGGGAAGCCGUUAAGUUUGCCGCCUGGGGAGUACGGUCGCAAGACUGAAACUUAAAGGAAUUGGCGGGGGAGCACCACAAGGGGUGAAGCCUGCGGUUCAAUUGGAGUCAACGCCGGAAAUCUUACCGGGGGCGACAGCAGAGUGAAGGUCAAGCUGAAGACUUUACCAGACAAGCUGAGAGGAGGUGCAUGGCCGUCGCCAGCUCGUGCCGUGAGGUGUCCUGUUAAGUCAGGUAACGAGCGAGAUCCCUGCUUCUAGUUGCUACCAUUAUUCUCAGGAGUAGUGGAGCUAAUUAGAGGGACCGCCGUCGCUGAGACGGAGGAAGGUGGGGGCUACGGCAGGUCAGUAUGCCCCGAAACCCUCGGGCCACACGCGGGCUGCAAUGGUAAGGACAAUGAGUUUCGAUUCCGAAAGGAGGAGGCAAUCUCUAAACCUUACCACAGUUAUGAUUGAGGGCUGAAACUCGCCCUCAUGAAUAUGGGAUCCCUGUACC
rnacentral:rRNA from 1 species